GACAGAGGGGGCAAGCGUUGCUCGGAAUUACUGGGCGUAAAGGGCGCGUAGGCGGGAUGGCAAGUCGGUCGUGAAAUCCUUCGGCUCAACCGAAGAACGUCGAUCGAUACUGCUGUUCUUGAGGGUUGCAGAGGAGACUGGAAUUCCCGGUGUAGCGGUGAAAUUCGUAGAUAUUCGCAAGAACACCAGUGGCGAAGGCGGCUCACUGGUCCGGUACUGACGCUGAGGUGCGAAAGCGUGGGGAGCAAACAGG
rnacentral:rRNA from 1 species